rnacentral:rRNA from 1 species
AGAACGAACGCUGGCGGCAUGCCUAACACAUGCAAGUCGAACGCUCUUGGGAUUUCGGUCUCAAGGGAGUGGCGCACGGGUGAGUAGCGCGUGGGAACCUGCCCUGUUGUGGGGGAUAACCGAGGGAAACUUCGGCUAAUACCGCAUACGCCCGGGGGAAACUCCGGGGAAAGAUUUAUCGCAGCAGGAGGGGCCCGCGUCGGAUUAGGUAGUUGGUGGGGUAACGGCCCACCAAGCCUGUGAUCCGUAGCUGGUCUGAGAGGAUGAUCAGCCACACUGGGACUGAGACACGGCCCAGACUCCUACGGGAGGCAGCAGUGGGAAUAUUGGACAAUGGGCGCAAGCCUGAUCCAGCAAUGCCGCGUGAGUGAUGAAGGCCUUCGGGUUGUAAAGCUCUUUCGCACGCGACGAUGAUGACGGUAGCGUGAGAAGACGCCCGGCUAACUUCGUGCCAGCAGCCGC